rnacentral:rRNA from 1 species
UAAAUAACAAUGCAGGGCUCUUACGGGUCUUGCAAUUGGAAUGAGUACAAUUUAAAUCCCUUAACGAGGAUCAAUUGGAGGGCAAGUCUGGUGCCAGCAGCCGCGGUAAUUCCAGCUCCAAUAGCGUAUAUUAAAAUUGUUGCCGUUAAAAAGCUCGUAGUCGAACUUCGGGCUCUGUCAGCCGGUCCGCCUUCUUGGUGUGUACUUGUUUGACGGAGCCUUACCUCCUGGUGAACGGCGAUGUCCUUUACUGGGUGUCGUCGCAAACCAGGACUUUUACUUUGAAAAAAUUAGAGUGUUCAAAGCAGGCCUUUGCCCGAAUACAUUAGCAUGGAAUAAUAAAAUAGGACGCGCGUUCCCAUUUUGUUGGUUUCUGAGAUCGCCGUAAUGAUUAAUAGGGAUAGUUGGGGGCAUUUGUAUUCCGUCGUCAGAGGUGAAAUUCUUGGAUUGCCGGAAGACAAACUACUGCGAAAGCAUUUGCCAAGGAUGUUUUCAUUGAUCAAGAACGAAGGAAGGGGGAUCGAAAACGAUUAGAUACCGUUGUAGUCUCUUCUGUAAACUAUGCCAAUUGGGGAUCGGUACAGGAUUUUUAAUGACUGUAUCGGCACCCGAAGAGAAAUCUUUAAAUGAGGUUCGGGGGGGAGUAUGGUCGCAAGGCUGAAACUUAAAGGAAUUGACGGAAGGGCACCACCAGGUGUGGAGCCUGCGGCUUAAUUUGACUCAACACGGGGAAACUCACCAGGUCCAGACACAAUAAGGAUUGACAGAUUGAUAGCUCUUUCUUGAUCUUGUGGUUGGUGGUGCAUGGCCGUUCUUAGUUGGUGGAGUGAUUUGUCUGGUUAAUUCCGAUAACGAACGAGACCUUAACCUGCUAAAUAGACCAGCCGGCUUUGGCUAGCUGCUGUCUUCUUAGAGGGACUAUCAGCGUUUAGCUGAUGGAAGUUUGAGGCAAUAACAGGUCUGUGAUGCCCUUAGAUGUUCUGGGCCGCACGCGCGCUACACUGACAGAGCCAGCGAGUCUACCACCUUUGCCGGAAGGCAUGGGUAAUCUUGUGAAACUCUGUCGUGAUGGGGAUAGAACAUUGCAAUUAUUGUUCUUCAACGAGGAAUACCUAGUAAGCGUGAUUCAUCAGAUCGCGUUGAUUACGUCCCUGCCCUUUGUACACACCGCCCGUCGCUACUACCGAUUGAAUGGCUUAGUGAGGCCUCCGGAUUGGCUAUUGGGAGCUCGCGAG